GCUCAAGGCCAGCCUGGCGUAGAGCAAGUUUCAGGUAAAGAAAAGUUUAGAUCUAGGCGUGGUACUUCAAGCUUUAAUCCCAAACAAUGAAGGUAAAAUUGGUUAAUGGAAGAAAGUUUGAAAGUGAUGUCUAAUUGAGUGACAGACAAAGUAACAAAUGAGAGAAAGAUUUGACAGGAUAGGACAUGCCCAACUCUCACAAGGAGAGAGAGGAAAGGGAAGCUACUUAAGGGAGCAGCACAGAGAAUGAGAGAGGGAGGAGGUAGUUUACAGAGAGAGGUGAAAGAAAGAAAAAAGUAGAUACUGGUGAAGACAGAACGAGCCAGAGAACAAGAAGGAAUCAAAAGAUUAAAACAUAUUGCCAAGCUUAGUAUGAAGCCAAGCUGAGCUAUUCAGUCAGAAGGCGAGUAAUGCCAGAAGGCAAGAAAAGCCAGUUUGAAUCACUCAGCUAGGAGAGGAGUUUGAGCCAAAAGAGCUUAAGUUGAACCAGUCAUCCAGAGCUCAAAAAGAACAAGAAAGGGUGAGCUUAUUCAGCAGUAAGUUUCCAGGCCUAGAAGCUUCCAAGAAUAGGCCUUGGUUAAUCAGGCAAAUAAAAGUUACUUUUACACCAAUGUAACCAAAGUGCAGUCUUGGUGAGCCAUGAUUUUAUUGGAGUUGCUAACAGGAGUGUGGAUGAGGGGUUACUUAGAGGAGGAAGGAUGAUUCAAAAGCAGCUGCAUUACUAAAAAGCUCCACCCCCAACACACUGGAGACAGACUGUGAACGCUGAAAGCCUGAAGAUCUCUGCACAGCUUGCAGGUGGCUCAACCGGUCCCAGAAUCCCUUCAAGAUACAUUCUGAUCAACAGGAGAAUCGGGAAACCUGCACAAACUAGUUCAAUAGGUAGAGAUGGCCGUGUACACUCAUCGGCCAAGAAGAACGGGCACCAAGAGAGACGGCUAUAGAGGCCGAAAACUGUCCUCGUGAAUCCACACCUGCCUUGCCAUCACCGGCAGCCACAGCUUUCAAACCAGGUGGCUGAGCGAUCGCCGGUAGCGGAAGCCUAAGGCCGGAAGCCAGCAGCGCCAAAGCCACGAUGGAUGACGUAAUAGCAUCAGCCACGUGUCAGCAAUGUGUCUCGUCAAACACUGAAGCUGAGGCCGCAGCACAGAGCGCUCCUGAGACACGCGGCGUGGGCGCAUGCGCUUUCACAAGAGUGGCUUCCGGAGAGCAGUCCUGUAACAGACUGCUGUCCCCUGAGCACAUCCAGCGCCGCACCAGACUGACUUUUAAUGUACUGCCGGUUGACAUCACCUCCUGAAAACAGCGGCCUUCGAACAUACAUUUUUUUUCUCUUAUCACUGUUUUACAAAAGACUUUUUGAUGUACCAUCUCAAUAAACUGACGUUAUUUCAA